AACGCUAGCUACAGGCUUAACACAUGCAAGUCGAGGGGAAACGAUAUUGGAAGCUUGCUUCCGAUAGGCGUCGACCGGCGCACGGGUGAGUAACGCGUAUCCAACCUGCCCAUCACUUGGGGAUAACCUUGCGAAAGUAAGACUAAUACCCAAUGACAUCCGUAGAAGACAUCUGAAAUGGAUUAAAGAUUUAUCGGUGAUGGAUGGGGAUGCGUCUGAUUAGCUUGUUGGCGGGGUAACGGCCCACCAAGGCGAUGAUCAGUAGGGGUUCUGAGAGGAAGGUCCCCCACAUUGGAACUGAGACACGGUCCAAACUCCUACGGGAGCCAGCAGUGAGGAAUAUUGGUCAAUGGGCGAGAGCCUGAACCAGCCAAGUAGCGUGCAGGAUGACGGCCCUAUGGGUUGUAAACUGCUUUUAUAAGGGAAUAAAGUGAGUCUCGUGAGACUUUUUGCAUGUACCUUAUGAAUAAGGACCGGCUAAUUCCGUGCCAGCAGCCGCGGUAAUACGGAAGGUCCGGGCGUUAUCCGGAUUUAUUGGGUUUAAAGGGAGCGUAGGCCGGAGAUUAAGCGUGUUGUGAAAUGUAGAUGCUCAACAUCUGCACUGCAGCGCGAACUGGUUUCCUUGAGUACGCACAAAGUGGGCGGAAUUCGUGGUGUAGCGGUGAAAUGCUUAGAUAUCACGAAGAACUCCGAUUG
rnacentral:rRNA from 1 species